rnacentral:lncRNA from 1 species
AUGAGGAACUGGGGUUAUUAUGAACCUUCCCUUAAAGGGCAUCUAGGUCUUCAGCUGAUGUCUUCGGUGGUUGAUCGAGAUAUGAAACCUUUCCUAACUAGGCGUGAGAAUCCUAUUAUGCUCGGCGCUAACGGGUUGUACCAUUCUCGGGAUUCUAUCGUUCCAGAAGCACCUUUAUCUCACAUAGAUUAUGUAAACACCAGGUGGGGUUAUUUAUUCGUGUUUUACUAUUAAAAAACAUGCUGAAAACCAGCAAUAUAAUGAUAAAGAUUACAACUUUUUGGCCUUAUCCACCUUUUUCUAAUUUCUUUUUUCAAUUAAGAAUAUCACAGGAUACUAUUAACAUGGAAAGCUAAGAUGUAUAUUAAAUUGGAAAAAUCAGAAAUUGAAGUUGAUACUCUUUAUGCAGUAACUAACAAUAAACAUCAAACGGAUAAACCCCCAGUUCAUAGAUUAUUAUAUUAGUUGAAGUUAUACUCUUUAUGCAGUAACUAACAAUAAACACCAAACGGAUAAACCCCCAGUUCAUAGAUUAUUAUAUUACCAUUAAAAGGAAUGCUGAAACCUAAAAAUGUAAUGAUAAAAAUGCACCUUUUAUGGCAUUCUCUUUUUUUAUUUUUCAUUUUCUAUUAAGAAUAUUUACAACUAAAGAGCAUUGGAAAAAGGGAUUACCCAGAGGACAAAAAGGGAAAUCACAGCUCUAUUUUUGCCGGAGAGAAGCAAAGUUCGCCGAAGAUGGAGAGAGUGUGCCAAACUUGGAUGAAGAAGAAAGAAAGAAUGUGACAUAUACUUGACGUUGGGCCUCACAAGAAAAAUAGUUGCUGGGCCAAAAAUCAACUGGAAGUUGGGCCUAUCAUCCAAGCGGGCAGCAAAUGAGGUUAAAUUAUCAUGGUAUAGCCAGUUUUCACACCGGUCAAUCAAAAAUAGCCAACAUUUACCAAGUUAAUAAGAAAUAGCCAUUAUUUUACUGCAACAGCGACCGGUCCCGUAUAAUAUACGGAAGUUCUUGUGCAAUUAUGUACGAACUCCAGCAUAUUAUGCUGGACCGGUAUACUUUGCUAA